AGAAUUCUAUCAAAUUGACAACGGUCGGGAUACAGAUAAAAAUGAAUGAAAAUGGAUAAUACAGAUGCUGCUGAAUAGUAAGAUUAAACGAGAACUUACCAGUUUGAACUUUGAUGUUUAUUUUAUGCGGAGUUACGAUGAGGGAUUACGUGAAGAGCCCGCAUGCGCAUCAAUCUUCAAAGCAGCAGUGUGAAAUCACAGAUAACAGUUGUUGAACUGAAUAUAGUAAGAUUCGAGAAACUAGAACGACCAGCUGACCUUUAUGAGAGAGGGUUGGGAGUGGAGGGCACGUAAUCCCUCAUCAUAACUCCUCAUAAAAUAAAGAUUAAACUUCAAACUGGUAAGUUCUCGUUUAAUCUUACUAAUUUACUUCGUAUUCACAUGAGUGACUACGUGAAGAUUUCAAAGCUCUGUGAUUUCAUGCCAUGAACACGAGUCCAUGCGUCACACACUGCAUCAAUUGACCAGGGAUGAGUGAAAUUUAAUAAGCAUGACAGAGAUUGGAACAACCCAUAACCCUCGCUGCUGAUGUUGAUGUUGUUGCAGCCCUGUGAGAUUUGAAAACAUCAGUGUUCACUCCUGCACAAGCCAAAACCCGUUUUAAUCACCUGGGGAUGGUCUAUACUGAUACCUAAGUAUGAGUUUCUUUUUUUUUUUUUUUUUGUAACUAACAAUAUUGCUAGUUCAGAACCUCUAUGGCUCUGGGUGAGAUAAUGACUCUUGUAGAUGUAUGACCACACCCACAACCAAAGGUCCAUGGGGUAUGCCAUGAAACUAGUCUGAGACCCAACGCCCCCGGUCUACUCUGCAAGACUGUCAAGAACAUAAAGUAACAUAUUAUUUGCAGAUGUAACCAUCCUGUCCAGUCGUAGCUUAUGCAAUGACUGGACCUGUUGCGCUGUACCCAGCACCAUGAGGAUAAACACUUUGUAAGUGAUUUACGUCAGCAGGACGUAAACAUCCCAUAUCUCCGAGUACCUGGGCCUGGGGAAUUUGAGUUUAAGAAACCCUUCAUAAAUCUGGAUAUGAGAGGUUGUGACCCGACAGCGUGGCACUUCCAGCACAAGUUAUAGCACUGUAACUCCAUCUCUCGUGUAAUAUAGUUUUGAGAGAAAUUCCAAGACAUCUGUUAUACGUACCGUGUCAUAUGAUAUAUUAGACUGUAAACAGAACACUUCCCAUUCCUUGAUAUAGGAGAUGUACUGUUUCUUGGUACUAUCUCUUCAGGCCGCAGUGAUUACAUCCACCAUACAACCUGACAGUCCGAACCCCAGGAAGGGUCUUCUCAUAGUCUGUAAACCAAUAAUUUUAUUUGCUCAUGCAGAGGAUGGUUCUCCCCAGUCACGGGGUGAGCCGGCAGGUUUAUGCAUUUGGGAACAGCCAUAAAAGGCUCUGUUAUCAUUCCCAGUAUGAGUGGACCUAUGGCUGUGUAGGCCAGACAGGCACGAUCAAAAGCCUGAGGCGGAGUCUUGCUGGAUUUUAAGCAAGCACCGACUGAUGAGGCAAAAUGGAGGAAAGACAUAAAGAACAUUCCUCCCCAGUGUAGCGAGAAUGCAUCCAUCGCCACUACCCCUGAGAAUGGCCGCAGAUAUCUUUGUAACUGGUGAUUGAGACUAGAUGCAAACAAAUCGAUAUUUGGUGUUCCAUCAAGUCACAAUGUCAUUAAAUACUUUGUGAUCCAACAUCCAUUCUGUGUUGUCAUUGAUUUACGUGAUGAUACGCCAGCGCCAAAUGAGGUUAGGUAAACUUAUCACAGGAAAUUGACUUGAUUGCACCCAUGUGAUAACUAUAUGCUAUAUCACCAUAGUGUGUCUACUUGUAGUUGAGCAUGCAGAUAUGUAUAUUCGCACAAUAAGCCUUUAACUCAUAGAACGCACUCAGUGACUUUGGGUAGUUGAUACCAUAUAACUGAGGGAUUGGUGACUCAUGCACAUCCCAUCCGCCUCUGUGACUAGAGAUGGGAUAGUAAUUUCCCAUCUUUGAGCACCAGCAUUAGUUUGUAAUAACUGAUGGUUUAAUGACCAAGAGUAAGUACUGGAGCAAUGCUGAAUACUGUUUGUUCAUCAUUAUGACUUUAUAGCUUCAGCUGGUAAUAGCAUAGGUCUAUGACCUACAUGGUACUUGAGAUCUUGCUCCUUUUCUUCUUCUUCUUCUAUGUAGUGUUUUUUGGCGGUUGGCAAACAACUUUUUUGGUGCAUUACCGCCACCAACUAGCAUGGAGUGUGGAACAAACAACACCAUUACAUAUACUAAUAACCUAUAUCCUUCCGAACAAAUUAGUUACCCUAAGAAAAAGCAACAGGAUUUGAUAGCACUUAUAUGAACUCCCUUGCAAAAUAUCUACCAAAUCAAAUUGUACUCUUUCUUUUCCGAACUGCUCGCUCAUCCGUCCUCUCUCCUCCUCAUACAUCUCACAAUGUACAAUGACAUGCUCUAUUGUCUCUUCUUGUCCACAGUAUUCACAUCUGCCUGUAUUAUGCUUACCUAUUAUAAAAAGUGUACUGUUCAGACCAGUGUGUCCAAAUCUAAUUCUUGAAAUUACUGUCUCCUCUUUUCUGUUUUUUCCUGCACAUCUCAUUUCUCCCACUUUCCUCUGGACUCUGUAGAACCACCGUCGUUCCGCUCUUCCUCCCAUUGCUUUUGCCAUCUUUCCUUCAAUCUUUGCUUAAUAAUGUCUUUGAUUUCAGUUUUACCUAUGUUAAUACUUAAAUCAAUCUUACUUCUUUUUGUUACCUCUUUUGCUACCUUAUCUGCCAUUUCGUUUCCUCUAAUGCCAAUGUAUGCUGGUACCCACAAAAAUAUGACUGUAAGCCCCAUCAUUUGAAUUCUGAAUAGUGUUUGUUGUAUUUCAAUCAAAAUGUCUGGUCUACUGUCUGAAUGGCUGUACUAUAAACUCUUUAUUGCUAAACUUGAAUCUGAACAAAUAACUGUCCUUAAAGGCCUAGUAUCCUCGACCCACUGUACCGCUAACAAUAUUGCAAUCAUUUCACCUGUGUAUACUGAGACUUCAUUAUUGAUCCUCUUCCCUACUUUGAUGUGAAAUUCUGGUACAAUAAAUGCUACUCCUACUUUA